GAUGAACGCUGGCGGCGUGCCUCAAACAUGCAAGUCGAGCGGGGCUAUGUAAUAUCGCAAGGUAGAACAUAGCCUAGCGGCGAACGGGUGAGUAACACGUGGGUAACCUGCCUGGAAGACAGGGAUAACGAUUCGAAAGGGUCGCUAAUACCUGAUAAUAUCCUUUCAUCGCAUGGUGAUAGGAAGAAAGGGGAAACCCGCUUUCAGAUGGGCCCGCGUCCCAUCAGCUAGUUGGUAAGGUAAAGGCUUACCAAGGCGACGACGGGUAGCCGGUCUGAGAGGAUGUACGGCCACACUGGGACUGAGAUACGGCCCAGACUCCUACGGGAGGCAGCAGUUGGGAAUCUUAGGCAAUGGACGAAAGUCUGACCUAGCGACGCCGCGUGAGGGAAGAAGGCCUUCGGUUGUAAACCUCUGUCAUGGGGAAGAAGUAAGUGACGGUACCCAACGAGGAAGCCCCUGCUAACUACGUGCCAGCAGCCGCGGUAAUAGUACUGUAU
rnacentral:rRNA from 1 species